GAGGCUGUGCUCAGAGGCAGAGCACUUGCCUAGCAUGCGUGAGCCACUGGGUUCGAAUCUCAGCACCACA
rnacentral:tRNA from 1 species